rnacentral:RNase_MRP_RNA from 2 species
CCCUCGUCCGACAAAUCGCUAUUCGAAGCUUCCACACGGAGAGAUUCGCGCCUUUUUGGCGUGUUUUCUUUCAUUUCCAAUCGAGCUUUGGGAGAAAGUCCCCGGACAUUCGUUCACUAUUUGCGAACGGAUUGCGGAAACGCGCCGCCAUAGAAGCACUGCGGCUGAUCUCGGCGUUGCCCAGUUCCUCGUCUGUCUUGCCCAGCCCUGCCCAUCACACCAAAGUCGGUCUCGUCUGCUUCCUCGGGGAGGUCGUCAUUUUUCAAGCUCGGGGACCAACAUGGACGAAGAUAUGAGUCCGCGCCUCGGGUGAGAAGCUUGGUCGCCUGAUCUGGGGGGGCUUGGGGUCGAUGGUGGGUUCAGCCGUUUGGGUGGUCCGGACUUGGGGCGUUUUAACGGCGGCUCGAGAGGUUUCGUCAUGAUACCACAGAUAUGCGAUUGCUCGCUCUUGUGUCUUUUACUAGGGGAGACAUGGGCGAAGUUACUCGACGGGGCUUAUUCUUGGUGCGAGG